CCUACGUGUGGCAGCAGUGAGGAAUAUUGGUCAAUGGACGAGAGUCUGAACCAGCCAAGUAGCGUGAAGGAUGACUGCCCUAUGGGUUGUAAGCUUCUUUUAUAUGGGAAUAAAACGUUCCACGUGUGGGAUUUUGUAUGUACCAUAUGAAUAAGGAUAGGCUAACUCCGUGCCAGCAGCCGCGGUAAUACGGAGGAUGCGAGCGUUAUACGGAUUUAUUGGGGUUAAAGGGAGCGUAGGUGGAGUGUUAAGUCAGUUGUGAAAGUUAGCGGCUCAACCGUAAAACUGCAGUUGAAACUGGCAGUCUUGAGUACAGUAGAGGUGAGCGGAAUUCGUGGUGUAGCGGUGAAAUGCGUAGAUAUCACGAGGAACUCCGAUGGCGAAGGCAGUUCACUGGACUGCAACUGACGCUGAGGCUCGAAAGUGUGGGGAGCAAACAGGAUUAGAUACCCUUGUAGUC
rnacentral:rRNA from 1 species